CAGGGAUCGCUUACCGUGGGACAGACUGCUGCAUGUCUCACUCGAUGCGACUUUGUUCGUGAGAACGCGUAGACUUGCGCACGGGUAGUUAAAGAGGGGCGAUUCGCAGUUCGUUCAGCCAAGACAAGCGAGCGCGACGGCAACAACAGUCCUAGCUAGCGGCGGGUAACACGUCUGGUCGCCCCGAGAUCGCUGAACAGCCCGGAUCCUUCAAAAACCUCAAUCUUCUAAGAAGUGCUCACGGAACCUCGUUCCCAAGCUCUUCUGUCCUGCUGCUAGAAAACGUCGGUUCCCGUCACAACAAGAAGCAGUCACCGAGUAUGCAGCUGAGACUGCGUAGAGCUGCGCUUCCUGCCAGUCUACUCUCCGUUGGUCCAUUCCAGUCGAAAGCGUCUUUUCUGUUGGCAAAAGCCGCUCUGACGCUCACGGAUCUAGUGGUGCGUCAGUCACGUCCGUAACACUCGAGUUUUUCGACGACGCUUGCGAUACCUCCACCAGCCCUGAACUACCGUGUUGGGCCGCGUCUCUUGCACAGGAGGGAGCGCAGGGGCACGUUUCAGUGCGUGGACACGCUCGCGUUCAAGAAGGUAACGAAAACGUGUCCGAGAGAGCGCCGAUACAUACACAGAGAAGGCGAGUCUUAGUAACAGUGCCCAUCCAGUCCGUGUGCUUCUCAAGGAGGAAAACAGACGUAGAGCAUAGCAACCAGACCAUGACCGGGCAUCCCAGUGAAGCGGAUAGCGAAGAGGGUCUGGUAUCUCUUCGAGCAGCGACGUAUCGCUCGAGCAGCCUCAAGCAGAGCAGAGCAGAGCAGAGCAGAGGCUCGUUCAAGGUUUCUCUGUCACACGAAGGAAACAAGACGAAAUGCACAGGGACGAUGCACCGACGGACUGUCCGUCUGCACACAUACGCACACACACACACACAAACACAGACUCCAUGAAACCGAGGCCAGCGUCAGCCGACGAGCAGCUUUUUCAACCUGUCAGGGUAGACGACGAGACGAACAUUGCGGCGGACCCGGAUCCGCAGCUGGAAACCGUCAUCUCAGAUGCAGUAUCUCUACAUCGAGGGGAUGUAUCCGGAGAUCCUCAGGGCGAGCAAAUGCAACUGCGCAGCUUGUGCAGGGAAGGGCAUGAACGGGAGCCCGACAUGGCGGGCGCCCAGCGGUCUACCAGCGAGUGCAAGGACAGCGUCGUGACCCAUGUUGACGCUCUGAGCGCCGAAUCCAGCGGUCUGAGGUAUUCUCUGAACGCCGCAUUCACGGAGCACAUGAGCGUCCAAAUGGCUCAUGCAGACAAUCUAUGGAGGCACUAGAUGGAGCCGCACCGGACUCGCCGAUGCUCCGGCUGCACGGAGGCAAGAAGCGCAGACUGGCCAACGGUUUCCAUGAAAUGGACAUGGACGUGGACACGCUCAAGGACUUGAUCAAGGACAUGGACUUGAACAUGAACAUGAACAUGAACAUGAACAUGAACAUGAACAUCAACCCGAUAGUGCAUGAUGCGUCGUGCUGUUCGGUGGCAGCGCACUGCCGCUCGAGGCGCUGGAACGCGCUCGGGCUGCAUUCCUGCUGCAUCUACGAGAGCGUGCAACGAGCGAAGGAAUCGAUUCUUUCCGAUGCUUAUCGAUGGAUGCAGGACAAUAUGCAGAAAUCAAGAGCACGGUUGCGCGCUGAUGCCGGUAGAGGAGAAGAGCGUGAAACAGAGCCGGACGCUCGAGAUGUUGCACGGUACGCUGAGAUAACGUCCGAUGCAGCGAGCAACGAGAGCGAGCGGCAUGCAGUUGUGUGCGUUUACCUGUCGAAGCGUGUGACGGCCCUUUAUGGAUCGAGAUAUGAGCGUCUGUCGAACAACGUUCGGAGAUGGCCUCUGCUAGCGAAACGCGCAUGAGCUCUGCAUCGAACGGACCCCGGAGCGGAUCGUUGCGUACAGGCCGUGGGCAUUGCCCUGAAUCGCUGACGACCUUUGAUAAACGAAUUCAAGGACAUUAGAGAGGCGGCAUCUGAUUCUCGCCUGGAGCAAUUCAGUAGUAUGGUAUGGUCAGGAAUACAACAAGUCUGCAACAUCGUAUUUAUGUAGUCGGAAUGGUAUCCCUGGGCGACUGCCAAUCGAGAAUGGUGUUGCAUUAUUCGAUAUUACUGAGU